rnacentral:SRP_RNA from 1 species
GCUGGGUGUGGUGGCAGGCGCCUGUAAUCCCAGCUACUUGGGAGGCUGAGGCAGGAGAAUCACUUGAACCCAGGAGGUGGAGGUUGCAGUGAGCCGAGAUCACGCCACUGCACUCCAGCCUGGGUGACAGAGUGAGACUCUGUCUCAA